rnacentral:rRNA from 1 species
AUGAACGCUGGCGGCGUGCCUAAUACAUGCAAGUCGAACGCUUUGUGGUUCAACUGAUUUGAAGAGCUUGCUCAGAUAUGACGAUGGACAUUGCAAAGAGUGGCGAACGGGUGAGUAACACGUGGGAAACCUACCUCUUAGCAGGGGAUAACAUUUGGAAACAGAUGCUAAUACCGUAUAACAAUGACAACCGCAUGGUUGUUAUUUAAAAGAUGGUUCUGCUAUCACUAAGAGAUGGUCCCGCGGUGCAUUAGCUAGUUGGUAAGGUAAUGGCUUACCAAGGCGAUGAUGCAUAGCCGAGUUGAGAGACUGAUCGGCCACAAUGGGACUGAGACACGGCCCAUACUCCUACGGGAGGCAGCAGUAGGGAAUCUUCCACAAUGGGCGAAAGCCUGAUGGAGCAACGCCGCGUGUGUGAUGAAGGGUUUCGGCUCGUAAAACACUGUUGUAAGAGAAGAAUGACAUUGAGAGUAACUGUUCAAUGUGUGACGGUAUCUUACCAGAAAGGAACGGCUAAAUACGUGCCAGCAGCCGCGGUAAUACGUAUGUUCCAAGCGUUAUCCGGAUUUAUUGGGCGUAAAGCGAGCGCAGACGGUUAUUUAAGUCUGAAGUGAAAGCCCUCAGCUCAACUGAGGAAUUGCUUUGGAAACUGGAUGACUUGAGUGCAGUAGAGGAAAGUGGAACUCCAUGUGUAGCGGUGAAAUGCGUAGAUAUGUGGAAGAACACCAGUGGCGAAGGCGGCUUUCUGGACUGUAACUGACGUUGAGGCUCGAAAGUGUGGGUAGCAAACAGGAUUAGAUACCCUGGUAGUCCACACCGUAAACGAUGAGUGCUAGGUGUUUGAGGGUUUCCGCCCUUAAGUGCCGCAGCUAACGCAUUAAGCACUCCGCCUGGGGAGUACGACCGCAAGGUUGAAACUCAAAGGAAUUGACGGGGACCCGCACAAGCGGUGGAGCAUGUGGUUUAAUUCGAAGCAACGCGAAGAACCUUACCAGGUCUUGACAUCCCUUGACAACUCCAGAGAUGGAGCGUUCCCUUCGGGGACAAGGUGACAGGUGGUGCAUGGUUGUCGUCAGCUCGUGUCGUGAGAUGUUGGGUUAAGUCCCGCAACGAGCGCAACCCUUAUUACUAGUUGCCAGCAUUUAGUUGGGCACUCUAGUGAGACUGCCGGUGACAAACCGGAGGAAGGUGGGGAUGACGUCAAAUCAUCAUGCCCCUUAUGACCUGGGCUACACACGUGCUACAAUGGCGUAUACAACGAGUUGCCAACCCGCGAGGGUGAGCUAAUCUCUUAAAGUACGUCUCAGUUCGGAUUGUAGGCUGCAACUCGCCUACAUGAAGUCGGAAUCGCUAGUAAUCGCGGAUCAGCACGCCGCGGUGAAUACGUUCCCGGGUCUUGUACUCACCGCC